GACGUAGGGGGCGAGCGUUGUCCGGAAUUACUGGGCGUAAAGCGUGCGCAGGCGGUUUUGUAAGCCAGAUGUGAAAGCCCCGGGCUUAACCUGGGAAUGGCAUUUGGGACUGCAAGGCUUGAGUGCGGCAGAGGAGACUGGAAUUCCUGGUGUAGCAGUGAAAUGCGCGGAUAUCAGGAGGAACACCGGUGGCGAAGGCGGUUCUCUGGGCAUGUCCUGACGCUGAGGAGCGAAAGUGUGGGGAGCGAACAGG
rnacentral:rRNA from 1 species